rnacentral:rRNA from 1 species
UUAGAGUUUGAUCCUGGCUCAGGAUGAACGCCGGCGGUGUGCCUAAUACAUGCAAGUCGUACGCACUGGCCCAACUGAUUGAUGGUGCUUGCACCUGAUUGACGUUGGAUCACCAGUGAGUGGCGGACGGGUGAGUAACACGUAGGUAACCUGCCCCGGAGCGGGGGAUAACAUUUGGAAACAGAUGCUAAUACCGCAUAACAACAAAAGCCACAUGGCUUUUGUUUGAAAGAUGGCUUUGGCUAUCACUCUGGGAUGGACCUGCGGUGCAUUAGCUAGUUGGUAAGGUAACGGCUUACCAAGGCGAUGAUGCAUAGCCGAGUUGAGAGACUGAUCGGCCACAAUGGAACUGAGACACGGUCCAUACUCCUACGGGAGGCAGCAGUAGGGAAUCUUCCACAAUGGGCGCAAGCCUGAUGGAGCAACACCGCGUGAGUGAAGAAGGGUUUCGGCUCGUAAAACUCUGUUGUUGGAGAAGAACGUGCGUGAGAGUAACUGUUCACGCAGUGACGGUAUCCAACCAGAAAGUCACGGCUAACUACGUGCCAGCAGCCGCGGUAAUACGUAGGUGGCAAGCGUUAUCCGGAUUUAUUGGGCGUAAAGCGAGCGCAGGCGGUUGCUUAGGUCUGAUGUGAAAGCCUUCGGCUUAACCGAAGAAGUGCAUCGGAAACCGGGCGACUUGAGUGCAGAAGAGGACAGUGGAACUCCAUGUGUAGCGGUGGAAUGCGUAGAUAUAUGGAAGAACACCAGUGGCGAAGGCGGCUGUCUGGUCUGCAACUGACGCUGAGGCUCGAAAGCAUGGGUAGCGAACAGGAUUAGAUACCCUGGUAGUCCAUGCCGUAAACGAUGAGUGCUAGGUGUUGGAGGGUUUCCGCCCUUCAGUGCCGGAGCUAACGCAUUAAGCACUCCGCCUGGGGAGUACGACCGCAAGGUUGAAACUCAAAGGAAUUGACGGGGGCCCGCACAAGCGGUGGAGCAUGUGGUUUAAUUCGAAGCUACGCGAAGAACCUUACCAGGUCUUGACAUCUUGCGCUAACCUUAGAGAUAAGGCGUUCCCUUCGGGGACGCAAUGACAGGUGGUGCAUGGUCGUCGUCAGCUCGUGUCGUGAGAUGUUGGGUUAAGUCCCGCAACGAGCGCAACCCUUGUUACUAGUUGCCAGCAUUAAGUUGGGCACUCUAGUGAGACUGCCGGUGACAAACCGGAGGAAGGUGGGGACGACGUCAGAUCAUCAUGCCCCUUAUGACCUGGGCUACACACGUGCUACAAUGGACGGUACAACGAGUCGCAAGCUCGCGAGAGUAAGCUAAUCUCUUAAAGCCGUUCUCAGUUCGGACUGUAGGCUGCAACUCGCCUACACGAAGUCGGAAUCGCUAGUAAUCGCGGAUCAGCAUGCCGCGGUGAAUACGUUCCCGGGCCUUGUACACAACGCCCGUCA